UACGGAGGAUCCAAGCGUUAUCCGGAAUCAUUGGGUUUAAAGGGUGCGUAGGCGGGUUGGUAAGUCCGUGGUGAAAUCUCCAAGCUUAACUUGGAAACUGCCGUGGAUACUAUCAAUCUUGAAUGUCGUGGAGGUAAGCGGAAUAUGUCAUGUAGCGGUGAAAUGCUUAGAUAAUGACAUAGAACACCAAUUGCGUAGGCAGCUUACUACACGGUUAUUGACGCUGAGGCACGAAAAGCGUGGGGGAGCAAACAGG
rnacentral:rRNA from 1 species